rnacentral:tRNA from 1 species
CGGAGCGUAGCGCAGCCUGGUAGCGCAUCUGCUUUGGGAGCAGAGUGUCGGGGGUUCAAAUCCCUCCGCUCCGACCA